rnacentral:rRNA from 1 species
GACGUAGGGCGCGAGCGUUGUCCGGAUUCAUUGGGCGUAAAGGGUGCGUAGGCGGCGGGGCAAGUCUGAUGUGAAAUCCCGGGGCUCAACCCCGGAACUGCAUUGGAUACUGCCUUGCUAGAGUACUGGAGAGGGAACUGGAAUUUACGGUGUAGCAGUGAAAUGCGUAGAGAUCGUAAGGAAGGCCAGUGGCGAAGGCGAGUUCCUGGACAGUUACUGACGCUGAGGCACGAAGGCCAGGGGAGCAAACGGG